GCCGUUGACGCGGGGUGCCCGGAGGGCCGGGCUGAGAUCACACCCGUCGAACCUGAUCUAGCUCGUACUAGCGAAGGGACGUCACAGCCGUGAGCG
rnacentral:ncRNA from 2 species